ACCCAGGUCAGUAUUUUCCCUGUUGAGACCGAAGCAACUGAGGGUUGUACAACACACUCAACUGCUUCUUGAGGCCACUGUAGUUUCCAUGGGCAAAAGCAAACAGUCCUGAGCAAAUCCCACAUGACCUGUUCCAUUCUUGACUCUUCUAUUUACCUUUGUUUUUGAAGAAGCCCAGACACUAAGGCGACAUUCUCAUAAGUAUGUCACUUUAGCUGAGGAGGAAUAAACUACAGUGCUACAGCCAGGUGCCUGAUUCAAUCACAAAAUUAUUCAGACACCUGGGGCAAUGCCCAGCUGGCAGGGCUACCUGUUUGUUUUUCUUUUCAGCUUGUAUUUUGUAUUGUUGCCAGCCUUGUGUUUUAGAAGCAUUGAGGGCACUUAGCAUUUAUUUAGUCUUGGUUCCCACAGUCUUCCACCAGAAGCCCACCCCACGUGUAGGCGCGGGCGUUCAGGCGGGCUGCUGCUUGCUGGGAACCACGUUUCUCAGCCUGACUUGUUCUCUCUCUUCCUCUCCUAGAGGUUCAAAAGUCCAUUUCCAGUAUUUCCCAUAGAAAAGUGCUCCUAAUAUCUGAAAGUAUGCUAUUUUAGGAUGCAAGUAGAUCUUUGUCCUUCCUGCUUGGUGGAGAUGAAUUGGGGCACUGUUCCUGAGCCAGUGGCCUCUGUGAACACUGGAACACUGCCUGGGUGUCCACCCUCAUGUGGAGAAGCCAUGGGGACAGCUGCAGAAGAGAGUACCCACCUGGGCAGGUGAGGUGACCAACGCUGGACAACAUGCUUCCCCGUCCACUUGACUUCUUUGCAUCUUGCACUGAGACACAGCCCUCCAAGGGAAGCAGCAGCAGUGAACUGCUUUGUGGCACGAUGGCCUUCCAUGGAGUCUGAGGAAUUCUUCUGGAAGAUAAGGGGCUGGAAUUCCAAUUCCCAUUGGCACUACCCCAUGCAGGUCUAAUACCACUCAUUGGGCGAUAGUUCUUUGUAUUUCAGUCUGACAAUACCGUAUACAAUAGGCUGCUCGGGCUGCCAUUCAUCCGCCCUUGAAGGGGGAAAUUCCUUGAGGUGCUUCAAAGGGAGUUUACACUGAUAAAUGAGCAUUUCAGGAGGUGUGGGAAGAACGCCUGGUCCACGGGCGCCAUUGUCAGCAUUAGGUGAGUAAGGAGAGCGAAGGUGACAUCUGCGGCAAAGUGUCCCAGCAACACACGGCAGGCAGGGACUGUUUUCCUCACCUGCCUUGGCAUUGGCUGCAAAACUGAGGGACCCUAAACAGGCUUUUGGGAGAUUGAUGACUGAUGACAAAAACAGGGCAGCACUCGGUGACUUUCUGCUGGUUCUUGAGAAUCCAAAUGAAAGUCCUACCCUGAACCUGCUCUGCAAAGGGGACCCACAUGAGGUCGCUUGGAAAGGGUCCUGACCCACCCACCAUGUCAAGCAAUUAUUUUUCUGGACAGCUUCCUGAUGUCCCCAAGGAGAGAGAGAGCGUGACAGCCAGUGAGGGAAAGCAUGCCACAGGUCCCGCCUGCUAACCUGGCAGGAGGGUGCUUGCAACACCUAAUUUAUCAACGCUUGUUUUCCCUGCUGGAGCCAAGUACACAAAAUCACUCCGCCAACAGAGAAAGAGAAAGGGGAAGCCAUUCUUCACCUUUUUCAGUAAUGUAUUUUUGUUUUGGUCAAUUUCCCAGAUAAAUUAUGGUCUUGUCUCAUUGCUGCAUUGGUGGAAUUCUUGCUAGUGUUAUUUAGUACAUUUUAAAGCUGUGUGAAACCAAAAGGUACUUAAAAAAAAAAAAAAAAGGAAAGUUAACCAAAUUGAAGGGUAAAUUUUUUACAUUGUUCCACUGGCUCCAGUUGGAGCUUAAUCAUCACGACCCUUCCUUCAGUCCACAGCGCCUGCUUCAAGAUGCAGCAGAAGUCAAAAUUGCAAGAGUCUGGAUGUUUUGCUUUCGUGUAACUCAUUAGGCAUUUCCCCCUGUGCUAUGAUAAAUGUCUCUCUCAACCAGAAAUUUUAUCUCACCUGUGUAUGUCCCUAUUUCACUCUGCGGAAUCACUCUCAGGAAAUACAAGCUAAUGAUGUCUGUGGUUCUGAAAUUUCCUUGUUAUUAUUUGUUUAAGACAUUUUUUAAAAAAACCUGUGGACAGCUUAUUAAAAGGAUGCUGAGCAAUGAAAACAUUAUUAGACCAUAUUAUUGUUUAUUGUACCCAGAUGUCGUGCAUUUUACACAUCCCAAAGGAUUAGUAGUAAUGUUGGAUACCAAAAUCUUACUUUUCCUUGCAGAUAUUGAGACUAAAUUUUUCUCAUUAAAAACAAAACAUUUACACUGAACAAAUGGUGCGUGUCCGGGUGAAGCAUCAGGUCUCAAGAAGGCAACACUGCUCAAACGAGACUUAGGACAGAACUGGAGACCAAAACAAAGCUGAGGCUACUGUUGGAAAUACUGGUCUAAAAAAAGGAAGAGUGUGGUAUGCUUGUUUUUUAGUUUUAUAGAAUUUUCCAUUUGGAAAGGAGAGAAAUGCAUACAUCCAAGCUGAAAUAAACCAUUCUAGCAAACAUGCCGAGGAAUAAUUUUCAAGAAUGUUUUGUUUUUAAUGAAAAGGAAAGCAAAUCAAAGAAAACCUGGGUAAGUGUUAAAGAGUACUAAAUUUAUAGUAAGGUUCAGGCAAUCUGCCCACUGCAAUCAGAAAGGUUUGGGCUGUUAGUCAUUUAAGACACACAAUGGGAAAAUAAACAAAGAAGGAGGAAGGGGGAAUGGUAAACUGUAGUUUGGCAGCAAAAUUAGUCCAGCUAGUUCCAUUACAUAUUAAACCAUGUCACAAAGCAAAUAAUUGAAAUAAUGAGGAGCUCAUUUUUUAAAAGAUAUAUAGAGUAGCAUAACAGAAUCAACAAAAAUAAGACUGUUUUAUAUAACAAUUCAAUAGACAAUAAAUAAGCACUCCAUUUGGGGAAAAGAAUCACACAAUAAAUGAUGCUGGGAUGGCUUGUGAGUAAUUUGGAGAAAACUGAUCUAGAAUGAGAGCGAGUAUUCCACAUUCGCCACUCUCUUGUCUUUUGGCUUUCUAUCACCUUGGCCAAUGGAGGAAGACAGCAAAAAACAGGAAGGAGGAAGAGUAUGAAGGGAGUCAUUUCUCCCCGGCACUCCAUGCCAGGUUGCUCCAGAAGGCUGUGUCUCUGUCCUAAGGGCUACAGCUUGGCUUGGGCAGUCUUUCCAUACAACUCUCCAGGUUCGGGAAAUUGCUUACUCAUCUGCCCCUGCAAGUGCAGGGAUGACAAUCACUUCCAGCUGAGCUGAGCCCAGCAUGCUGCAUCAUUCUUUGUUGAUGUCCCUCAACUCCGCUGGCGCUAUCUUGAUUAUCCUUAGGCUUACCUCAGUUCCCCAGUCCUAGUGGGCCUUCUGGUUCCUCCUGGGGCACUGACUGAUCCAGGUGCCCUGGGGUUCAGUCGCUAAGUUUCAGCUUCCUAUGUGAUGGGGUUUGGUUCUGUCCUUGUCUAAAUCUCAUGUUGAAUUGUAAUCCCCAGUGCUGGAGGUGGGGCCUGGUGAGAGGUGACUGGAUCAUGGGGUGGAUUUCUCACGAAUAGUUUAGUGCCGUUCCGUUGGUGCUAUCCUCAUGAUAGUGAGUGAGUUCUUGCAAAAUCUGGUCAUUUAAAAGUGCUCCUGCUUUUGCCAUGUGAUGUGUGACAUGCGUACUCCCGCUUCACCUUCCACCACGAUUGUAAGUUUCCUGAGGCUUCCCCAGAAACUGAGCAGAUGCCAGUAUCAUGCUUCCUGUACAGCCUGAGGAUCCAUGAGCCAAUUAAACCUCUUUUCUCUAUAAAUUAUCCAGUCUCAGGUAUUUUUUAUAGCAAUGCAAGAACAGCCUAAUACUGUGCAAUUUCAGAAUCCCAAGUUUCUCUAUUUACCCAAGACCGGGGGGUGCUCCCGCGGCCUGAUUCAUGCUCACAGACAUGCAAA
rnacentral:lncRNA from 1 species